CCUACGGGAGGCUGCAGUGGGGAAUAUUGGACAAUGGGGGCAACCCUGAUCCAGCCAUGCCGCGUGUGUGAAGAAGGCCCUCGGGUUGUAAAGCACUUUCAGUGAGGAAGAACGCCUGGUGGUUAAUACCCAUCAGGAAAGACAUCACUCACAGAAGAAGCACCGGCUAACUCCGUGCCAGCAGCCGCGGUAAUACGGAGGGUGCGAGCGUUAAUCGGAAUUACUGGGCGUAAAGCGCGCGUAGGUGGCUUGAUAAUCCGGUUGUGAAAGCCCCGGGCUCAACCUGGGAACGGCAUCCGGAACUGUCAAGCUAGAGUGCAGGAGAGGAAGGUAGAAUUCCCGGUGUAGCGGUGAAAUGCGUAGAGAUCGGGAGGAAUACCAGUGGCGAAGGCGGCCUUCUGGACUGACACUGACACUGAGGUGCGAAAGCGUGGGUAGCAAACAGGAUUAGAUACCCCUGUAGUC
rnacentral:rRNA from 1 species